rnacentral:rRNA from 1 species
GACGAACGCUGGCGGCGUGCUUAACACAUGCAAGUCGAACGGAAAGGCCCUGCUUUUGUUGGGUGCUCGAGUGCCGAGCGGGUGAGUAACACGUGAGUAACCUGCCCUUGACUUACGGAUAACUUCAGGGAACAGGGGCUAUUACCGGAUAUGAGCUCCUGCUGCAUGUGGUGCGUUGGAAAGUUUCGGCGGUUGGGGAUCGACUCGCGGCUUAUCCGCUUGUUGGGCGGGUAGUGGCUUACCAAGGCUUUGACGGGUAGCCGGCAUGGGAGGGUGACCGGCCACAAUGGGACUGAGAGACGGCCCAGAAGCCUACGGGAGGCAGCAGGCGGGAAUAUGGCACAAUGGGCGGAAGCCUGAUGCAGCAACGCCGCGUGCGGGAUGACGGCCUUCGGGUUGUAAACAGCUGUCGACUGUGACGAAGCGUGAGUGACGGUAAUGGGUAAAGAAGCACCGGCUAACUACGUG